UCUGGUUACUGCGAUGGAGGGACGGAGAAGGCUAGGCCAGCUUGGCGUUGGUUGUCCAAGUUUAAGGUGGUAGGCUGAAAUCUUAGGUAAAUCCGGGGUUUCAAGGCCGAGAGCUGAUGACGAGUCGUCUUUUAGAUGACGAAGUGGUUGAUGCCAUGCUUCCAAGAAAAGCUUCUAAGCUUCAGGUAACCAGGAACCGUACCCCAAACCGACACAGGUGGUCGGGUAGAGAAUACCAAGGCGCUUGAGAGAACUCGGGUGAAGGAACUAGGCAAAAUGGCACCGUAACUUCGGGAGAAGGUGCGCCGGCUAGGGUGAAGGAUUUACUCCGUAAGCUCUGGCUGGUCGAAGAUACCAGGCCGCUGCGACUGUUUAUUAAAAACACAGCACUCUGCAAACACGAAAGUGGACGUAUAGGGUGUGACGCCUCCCCGGUGCCGGAAGGUUAAUUGAUGGGGUUAGCGCAAGCGAAGCCCUUGAUCGAAGCCCCGGUAAACGGCGACCGUAACCAUAACGGUCCUAAGGUAGCGAAAUUCCUUGUCGGGUGAGUUCCGACCUGCACGAAUGGCGUAACGAUGGCGGCGCUGUCUCCACCCGAGACUCAGUGAAAUUGAAAUCGCUGUGAAGAUGCAGUGUAUCCGCGGCUAGACGGAAAGACCCCGUGAACCUUUACUGUAGCUUUGCACUGGACUUUGAGCCUGCUUGUGUAGGAUAGGUGGGAGGCUUUGAAGCGUGGACGCCAGUUCGCGUGGAGCCAUCCUUGAAAUACCACCCUGGCAUGCUUGAGGUUCUAACUCUGGUCCGUAAUCCGGAUCGAGGACAGUGUAUGGUGGGCAGUUUGACUGGGGCGGUCUCCUCCUAAAGAGUAACGGAGGAGUACGAAGGUGCGCUCAGACCUGUCGGAAAUCGGUCGCAGAGUAUAAAGGCAAAAGCGCGCUUGACUGCGAGACAGACACGUCGAGCAGGUACGAAAGUAGGUCUUAGUGAUCCGGUGGUUCUGUAUGGAAGGGCCAUCGCUCAACGGAUAAAAGGUACUCCGGGGAUAACAGGCUGAUACCGCCCAAGAGUUCAUAUCGACGGCGGUGUUUGGCACCUCGAUGUCGGCUCAUCACAUCCUGGGGCUGAAGCCGGUCCCAAGGGUAUGGCUGUUCGCCAUUUAAAGUGGUACGCGAGCUGGGUUUAGAACGUCGUGAGACAGUUCGGUCCCUAUCUGCCGUGGACGUUUGAGAUUUGAGAGGGGCUGCUCCUAGUACGAGAGGACCGGAGUGGACGAACCUCUGGUGUUCCGGUUGUCACGCCAGUGGCAUUGCCGGGUAGCUAUGUUCGGAAAAGAUAACCGCUGAAAGCAUCUAAGCGGGAAACUUGCCUCAAGAUGAGAUCUCACUGGGAACUUGAUUCCCCUGAAGGGCCGUCGAAGACUACGUCGUUGAUAGGCUGGGUGUGUAAGCGUUGUGAGGCGUUGAGCUAACCAGUACUAAUUGCCCGUGAGGC
rnacentral:rRNA from 1 species